AAGCAAAGGCAAUCCUACAAUUGUAUAAAUCUUCUAAACACUUACAGAAGAUACAGAUCUCCCUAGAUAUCUCCUGUUUUGAUUUGAAAGGAGAAUACAAAGAAGAGGAUAAGAUGAAGAAGUAUGCAGAUAUGGUGAAAAACCUCAAGGAGCUUCAGAAGAAACCUGGAGUUGGGAACAUCUUAAAGCUAAGUUGUGGAGAAGUAUUCAUCAAUACAGAAAAGAAAUUCUUUGGGUUGUUUUAAAAUCCAAUAACCCUUUUAACUGUUCUGAAGACAGUAUUGUAAUGAAGAUGCCUUCUGGGAAAUGUGCAAUAUGUCAACAACUAUUAAUUAUUUUUAAUUUAUUUGUCAUACUGACUUUUUGUUUCUUUACUGCAUAUAUACUUUGCAGAUGCAAUACCCAAUGGUUACAUUUUUCAUAUUAACCUUAUUUCGAGAAAAAAAACAUAUUUCUUUAAACAUGUGUUGGAAUUAUUAUAUUAUUGUAUAUACAUGUAAUUAUUAAGCAUUUGAGUUCUCAUGAUACGUUUAUAUAUAAUAUUCAGUACACAUUAACAACAGUGAUUCAAUCAGGCACAGGACAGCUGCCCAGCUUCUUUUUAGAUGUUCUGAAGGAAUCUGAAAAAUUAAGUAAACAUAAAAAAGGUCCAGACAAAACUUGAAAUUGACCUGAUGCUCAUGAUGUUAGAUAAGUAAUGCUAUAUUUAUAGUUAACUUUCAUUUUAAACAAAUGCUUUUCAAGAGAGGCUUAUAUAUGUUAAAGCUUACACAGAUUUUGAGACACGGGAAAUCAUAUUAUUGAGAGAUGUUUCAAGUUAUAAAAAAAUCUAUUAGAAUGUAAAAAAGUGUUGAAAUAGAAUGUUAAGACCAUCUUGGCCCUUUAUCUAUGUAGCAAACCAUACAUUGUGUAAUACUCAAGUACUAGUAAAAGUUGAAAACUUAUGUAAUAAGUAUUAGUAACCCGCUUUGAAGUAUUUGUCUUAUUAAAUUAUUUUUAUUGGAAAUUUUAAGAUUGUUAAAUGUUUGGGGUUUGCCCA